ACUUUCAGAAAAAGUAGGUAACAUUACCAUAAAGUUAACUUUACUGGUUUAUAUUAUUUUAAGCAAAUGCCAAAGGCAUACACUAAUUUAGUUUUGCUCAUUAUUUAGUAAGAAAUAUGUAUUUUGUAUAAAUUAACUGAUAGCAAUGUUAAUGAUAUGUUAAGUAAUAUUAGGUAAUGUUUCUAUUUUAUAGAAAGGUUUAAGAGUAUGCAAAAACCAAAUCUCUGAGAGAUGCAACCAGAAGACGGAUGAGAAACAUACUUGAGGCUGAGAUGACAGAAACACAUGGACAUCUCCCCCUAAAAGCGUAAGAGUGAUGUAUGCGCAGGGGAUUGUUGCUCUGUCUCCAUAUCUGGAAGACCCAUAUUCACAACAUGGAUAUGAACAUUACUACGAUCCAGAGAGCGGUUCAGGAUACCUUGAAUGGUCUUCAACCGCCAUGCAAAGAAAAGCUGUGG